rnacentral:lncRNA from 1 species
AGAGAAGAAGAAGAAGAAGAAGAAGAAGGAGGUGCGUUUUAAUCUGUGUCAUCUGUUGAAGCCACUAGGCUUGGCUUGGUGGAUAUGGUGUGUUAGAGGAUUCUUUAUGCUUUAUUCUUCGGAUUGAGAAAAAGAAAACAGGCCGAGAGCCGGUGGACGCUGUAUAUAGCUCGUACCCAUGGUAAAGAAGGGAAAGAGUGGUUUACACCAAAAAAAAAAAAGGAAAAACAACAACAAGGGAAACAGUGGCGUGGGUUUGGUGGGGCAGGGUCUGGAUGGCCCUUAGUGCAUUAACGGUAGAGUUGGAUCAUCAUGGAGAUAGGGACAUCCCUGCUCCUUCUCCUCCUUCCUCUCGUGAUGGACUACAGUCGAUGCCGUCUCAUCCAUAUAUCCGUCCGUCUGACAUGAGCUGCAUCUGGGAGUCAAAUGGCAACAGUCCCUUUCCCUGUUCAUGGCCCCUAGAAAAGAGGCUUUGGGAGGAACAUCUGCAUCAUCUGAAGCUUAUGCUUAUCCAUGGAUGCCUUGUUAGUUUCCAUGUGCAUGAGUACUUGGAGUUUCAAUUCUAUAAUGUUGUGAUGGCC